rnacentral:lncRNA from 1 species
UGAGGGUUGGGGGUGGGGACUCUGGUCCCCUACAAGAAGCAGCUGGGCUCUCCAUCCCUCUGCCCACCUCACCCCAACCAGCAACCAGUGCCUCUUUCCCCUCAUCCAUGCUGGGAUGGCAGCCUUACUCAGUGCCCAGGAAUCCUGGCCCACACAAUGCCUGGGUGCUUUUGAGGCAAGUUACUGAGACUUUAAUCCCAGUUUCCCUUUUAUUCCUGACCUCCCCCACCACCCUGGUCACAACUGGGCCACUCCCUUUUCCUGUCCCCAGCAGACGCCAGAGUCAAGCCUUGGAGAAGGACUCCCCUUCCAGCUCCGCUCAGCCCUCUGGGUGUGGGAGCUGUCCCUUGGCUAGGUCGGAGUGGGGGUUCACAAUGGUGGGGGCCAUGGGACAGGGCAAUGUCUCCUUGUCCCACUGCCACCCUGCUGAGUGCAUGCCUCUCGGGCCUCUGGUCCUCGGCUGCCUUCCAGUUGGGCUGCCUUCUCCUGGCCUUCGUGCUCCAACACGCAGGAGUUUCAGGAGCGGCUGUGAGGAUGUGGAGCCCAGCCUGGCACUGAGGUACCAAGAAAAGUGGAGAUGAUGCUCACGCUGCCUGGAUUCCACCCUGCUCUGGAGACCUGCCUUGCUCCCUCUGAAAUUCCGCUCCUAGAGAUUUGGACGCCGGCUGUCAGCUUCUCCCAGGAGGAAGCGGGGUGGUGCAGAGUGGGGGGAGCUUUGGCAAUGCUACGGCUUGCUUGAGUGGGGCGGGCUUGCGGUUAGUCUUGAUCUUGCUCCGAAAUCGCACAGUGGUCAAGAGCAAGGCUGACUCCUGGGUUUAAAACCUGUGCCUGGAUUCAAGUGCCAGAGCCACACAUUUAAUCACUGUGCCUCAAUUUCCUCAUCUAUAAAUGGGGUAAUAACACAUCAGUGGAUUAAAAGAAACAAUGUAUAUAAAGCUUGAGGACUGUGCCUGGCACGAUAUGAUUUAGCCAUUAGCUGACUCUUCACUGCUGACGCAUGAAGUUCCAGGGCUGGGAGCAGCGUGCUGCUGGGGUACCCCCAUCCUUUGCUGGGCCCAAGAGCUGUAGUCAUAGAGAUCAUGACUCAUAGGUACUCUGGGGGAGCCGCCUCGGAAACUCUGCUUCCCCUCCCAGGCCUGGGGUGCCUGGGCCCAUGGAAUGACCUCAGCUAGGAGGAAUGAGGGGCGCGGAGUCUAUAGGGCUGGGUGUAGGCCCCUGCCUACCCCCGGGGCCCUCCCAGCCCUGCCUUGUACCUGCCCCCUAGCAGGUGACCCACAGGCAGCAGGACUCCAGGGGCCACCCCAGUGACUCACUGUGACCUCUUGAUCCAGACCCAGUGAAUGGGAUCCCCCCAGCUCUUCCCUUCUGCAACCCCAGCCUCAGAUACACCAUUGACUCUGACCUCUAGCUGAGACACCAAGCCGGCCUCUGACUGAUGUGUGACCUUGACCUUCGACUGACCUCUUACCCUGGCCUCAGACUGACUCCUGGGCUCAGAUAGAGUGCCAGUUCUGGUCUCUGGCUGCAGCCCUGGCCCUGGCUACAGACUGACCCAUCUCCCAGACAUGGAAGGCACUCAAG